rnacentral:rRNA from 1 species
UAGGGAAUCUUCGGCAAUGGACGGAAGUCUGACCGAGCAACGCCGCGUGAGUGAAGAAGGUUUUCGGAUCGUAAAGCUCUGUUGUUAGAGAAGAACGUUGGUAGGAGUGGAAAAUCUACCAAGUGACGGUAACUAACCAGAAAGGGACGGCUAACUACGUGCCGGCAGCCGCGGUAAUACGUAGGUCCCGAGCGUUGUCCGGAUUUAUUGGGCGUAAAGCGAGCGCAGGCGGUUCUUUAAGUCUGAAGUUAAAGGCAGUGGCUUAACCAUUGUACGCUUUGGAAACUGGAGGACUUGAGUGCAGAAGGGGAGAGUGGAAUUCCAUGUGUAGCGGUGAAAUGCGUAGAUAUAUGGAGGAACACCGGUGGCGAAAGCGGCUCUCUGGUCUGUAACUGACGCUGAGGCUCGAAAGCGUGGGGAGCAAACAGG